rnacentral:rRNA from 1 species
GACGAACGCUGGCGGCGCGCCUAACACAUGCAAGUCGAACGGAGCUGAGAGAAGCUUGCUUUUCUUAGCUUAGUGGCGAACGGGUGAGUAACGCGUGAGUAACCUGCCCUGGAGUGGGGGACAACAGUUGGAAACGACUGCUAAUACCGCAUAAGCCCACGAUCCGGCAUCGGCUUGAGGGAAAAGGAUUUAUUCGCUUCAGGAUGGACUCGCGUCCAAUUAGCUAGUUGGUGAGGUAACGGCCCACCAAGGCGACGAUUGGUAGCCGGACUGAGAGGUUGAACGGCCACAUUGGGAAUGAGACACGGCCCAGACUCCGACGGGAGGCAGCAGUGGGGGAUAUUGCACAAUGGGGGAAACCCUGAUGCAGCGACGCCGCGUGGAGGAAGAAGGUUUUCGGAUUGUAAACUCCUGUCGUUAGGGACGAUAAUGACGGUACCUAACAAGAAAGCACCGGCUAACUACGUG